rnacentral:rRNA from 1 species
AUUGAACGCUGGCGGCAUGCUUUACACAUGCAAGUCGAACGGCAGCACGGGGGCAACCCUGGUGGCGAGCGGCGAACGGGUGAGUAAUGCAUCGGAACGUGCCCUGCCGUGGGGGAUAACACAUCGAAAGAUGUGCUACUACCGCAUACGACCUGAGGGUGAAAGCGGGGGACCGUAAGGCCUCGCGCGAUAGGAGCGGCCGAUGUCUGAUUAGCUAGUUGGCGGGGUAAAGGCCUACCAAGGCGACGAUCAGUAGCUGGUCUGAGAGGACGACCAGCCACACUGGGACUGAGACACGGCCCAGACUCCUACGGGAGGCAGCAGUGGGGAAUUUUGGACAAUGGGGGCAACCCUGAUCCAGCCAUGCCGCGUGCGGGAAGAAGGCCUUCGGGUUGUAAACCGCUUUUGGCAGGAACGAAACGGUGCGGGCGAAUACCCUGUGCUAAUGACGGUACCUGCAGAAUAAGCACCGGCUAACUACGUGCCAGCCGCCGCUGUAACAC